CCAUCUGGGCAGAGGGAUCCUCCUCUCAGCAUCACUGCUGCUGCUGACUUGUGAAGCUGUGAGAAUUGCAGGAAUGAACCUGGGGGACGUUUUGGGAAGCCCUGAAUGAGCCUGGAGGUGAUGGCUGAGAAUCCCUGGUGGACUCCUGACUCUGUGAAGCCAGCUCAAGGCACCAGAUAACUAUCACACAGAAACCCUGAGGCUGGAAAAGACCUCUGAGAACAUCAAGUCCAGCCCAUGGCUUAACAUCACCACAACAGCUAAACCAUGCUGCCAAGUGUCACAUCUAAACUGCCUUACAGAUGGUGACUCCAUCUCCCUGGGCAGUCCAUUCCAGUGCCUAAUCACCCUUCCCAUGAGGAAGUGCUUCCUAACAUCCAAUCUAACCCUCCCCUUGUGCUGCUUCAGGCCAUGUCCUUUUCUCCCAGCACAGGUUGCUUGUGAGAAGAGUCUCAAUCCCCCACCUCAUUAUAACUUCAUUGCAGGGAGCUGUAGAGUGUGAUAAGAUCUCCUCUAGGUCUUCUUCAGGCUGAACACCCCCAGUUCCCUCAGCCUCUCCUCAUAUAGCUUUUUCUCCAGCCUCAUCCCCAUUCUCCUUCAUAGAAUCAAGCAGGUUGGAAGAGACCUCCAAGAUCAUCCAGUCCCACCUAGCACCCAGCCCUAGCCAGUCAACUUCUGGACCUAUUCCAUCCUCUCAUUAUCACAGGAUGAUAGGGGUUGGAAGGGACCCAAAGAGCCCAUAGAGUCCAACCCCUCUGCCAGAGCAGAACCACACAAUCUAACACAGAGUUAUCCUCAUUGAAGUGAGAGACCCAGAACCUAAUCCAACCUUUCACAGUAACAACAUCACUUCAACAAACUGGCCCAGCUUUCUGUCAAGCUAAACCUUCAACCUGACCCAUGUAAGGGAAUCCACCACCUCCUUUGAGAGUUUAUUCCAAUGUUUAGUAGUUUGAAGGGAGCAAAAAUGUUUUCUGGCAUCAUCUGCCAGACAGAAGCAUCAUUUCAUAUAAUCAAGCAGGUUGGAAGAGAGCUCCAAGCUCAGUCAGUCCAACCUAGCACC